GUGACUCGAAGAAGCCUUCCAAAAAGCUGUGAAAAGGGAGCCCUCCUCUACUACCAAGGUGACUUCAGGGAGCACAUUCAAUGAGAAUACAAGAAGAUAUGCUGUGCACACCAACCAGUGUAGGAGACCUCAUGGCUCCCGGGUAAAGAAGAAGAGGUACCCACAAGAAGAUGACUUCCAUCAUACAGUCUUCAGCAACCUUGAAAGACUGGACAAGCUUCAGCCCACUCUUGAAGCCUCUGAGGAGUCUCUAGUUCACAAGGACAGAGGAGAUGGAGAGAGGCCAGUCAACGCGAGGGUGGUGCAGGUGGCCCCUCUGAGGCGUGAAUCUA
rnacentral:lncRNA from 1 species